UAACGCGAAGAACCUUACCAAGGCUUGACAUGGACCGGACCGGGCUGGAAACAGUCCUUCCCCUUUGGGGCCGGUUCACAGGUGGUGCAUGGUUGUCGUCAGCUCGUGUCGUGAGAUGUUGGGUUAAGUCCCGCAACGAGCGCAACCCUCGUUCCAUGUUGCCAGCGCGUAAUGGCGGGGACUCAUGGGAGACUGCCGGGGUCAACUCGGAGGAAGGUGGGGACGACGUCAAAUCAUCAUGCCCCUUAUGUCUUGGGCUUCACGCAUGCUACAAUGGCCGGUACAAAGGGUUGCGAUACUGUGAGGUGGAGCUAAUCCCAAAAAGCCGGUCUCAGUUCGGAUUGGGGUCUGCAACUCGACCCCAUGAAGUCGGAGUCGCUAGUAAUCGCAGAUCAGCAACGCUGCGGUGAAUACGUUCCCGGGUCUUGUACACACCGA
rnacentral:rRNA from 1 species